rnacentral:tRNA from 3 species
CGCGGGAUAGAGCAGCUUGGUAGCUCGUCGGGCUCAUAACCCGGAGGUCGGAGGUUCAAAUCCUCCUCCCGCAACCA